rnacentral:rRNA from 2 species
CUUGCUUUUGAUUCGUUAGCGGCGGACGGGUGAGUAACACGUGGGCAACCUGCCCUGUAGACGGGGAUAACACCGAGAAAUCGGUGCUAAUACCGGAUAACACGAAAUGUCGCAUGACGUUUCGUUGAAAGACGGCGCAAGCUGUCGCUACAGGAUGGGCCCGCGGCGCAUUAGCUAGUUGGUGAGGUAACGGCUCACCAAGGCGACGAUGCGUAGCCGACCUGAGAGGGUGAUCGGCCACACUGGGACUGAGACACGGCCCAGACUCC